GUGCUUGCACCUUUCAAGCGAGUGGCGAACGGGUGAGUAACACGUGGAUAACCUGCCUCAAGGCUGGGGAUAACAUUUGGAAACAGAUGCUAAUACCGAAUAAAACUUAGUAUCGCAUGAUACAAAGUUGAAAGGCGCUACGGCGUCACCUAGAGAUGGGUCCGCGGUGCAUUAGUUAGUUGGUGGGGUAAAGGCCUACCAAGACAAUGAUGCAUAGCCGAGUUGAGAGACUGAUCGGCCACAUUGGGACUGAGACACGGCCCAAACUCCUACGGGAGGCUGCAGUAGGGAAUCUUCCACAAUGGGCGAAAGCCUGAUGGAGCAACGCCGCGUGUGUGAUGAAGGCUUUAGGGUCGUAAAGCACUGUUGUAUGGGAAGAAAUGCUAGAAUAGGGAAUGAUUCUAGUUCGACGGUACCAUACCAGAAAGGGACGGCUAAAUACGUGCCAGCAGCCGCGGUAAUACGUAUGUCCCGAGCGUUAUCCGGAUUUAUUGGGCGUAAAGCGAGCGCAGACGGUUGAUUAAGUCUGAUGUGAAAGCCCGGAGCUCAACUCCGGAAUGGCAUUGGAAACUGGUUAACUUGAGUGUUGUAGAGGUAAGUGGAACUCCAUGGGUA
rnacentral:rRNA from 1 species